UAUCUCUGUAGAGUCUGCAUAUCAAUAAGCGGAGGAAAAGAAACUAACUAGGAUUCCCUCAGUAACGGCGAGUGAAGCGGGAAGAGCUCAAAUUUGAAAUCUUCAAGGUUCUACCCUGACGAAUUGUAGUUUAAAGAAGUGUUUUCUGUUGGAGUUUUGGUAAAAGUUCUUUGGAAUAGGACAUCAUAGAGGGUGAGAAUCCCGUAUUUGACCAUUAUUUCCAGCUUUGUGAUACACUUUCAAAGAGUCGGAUUGUUUGGGAAUGCAGUCCAAAAUGGGUGGUAAAUUUCAUCUAAAGCUAAAUAUUGGCGAGAGACCGAUAGCGAACAAGUACCGUGAGGGAAAGAUGAAAAGAACUUUGAAAAGAGAGUUAAACAGUACGUGAAAUUGUCAAAAGGGAAGCGUUUGACACCAGUGUUGUUUUCUCGAAAAUCAAUUAAAAAAUGACUGGAUUUUGUGUUGUAUUGACUUUAUCAGCUUUCUGCGCUCUUUUCUUGUCUUUUUUAAUGCACUUUUCGUUUAACAAGUCAACAUCAAUUUCUUUUGUUGUAAAAGAGUCAUUGGAAGGUGGCUUUCUUUUCGGAGAAAGUGUUUAUAGCCUUUGGCUUCUGCAAUCGGAGAGAUUGAGGUCUGCAGCGUAGAUCCUUCGGGGUUAGAUACAUUUGUGCUAAGUUAUAGCCUUUCAUAGACAACUUGUUGACUAUGAUCAGUCAUGUAGCUUACUCGCUUAUGCUAUUUUACCUACGCUUAGGAUGUUGAGUCAUCACACAUCUCU
rnacentral:rRNA from 1 species